AUUGAACGCUGGCGGCAGGCCUAACACAUGCAAGUCGAACGAGUGGCGGACGGGUGAGUAAUGUCUGGGAAACUGCCCGAUGGAGGGGGUUAACUACUGGAAACGGUAGCUAAUCCCGCAUACCAUCGGAUGUGCCCAGAUGGGCUUAGCUAGUAGGUGGGGUAACGGCACACCUAGGCCACGAUCCCUAGCUGGUCUGAGAGGCUGACCAGACACACUGGAACUUAGACACGGUCCAGACUCCUACGGGAGGCAGCAGUGGGGAAUAUUGCACAAUGGGCGCAAGCCUGAUGCAGCCAUGCCGCUUGUAUGAAGAAGGCCUUCGGGUUGUAAAGUACUUUCAUCGGGGAGGCGUUACCCGCAGAAGAAGCACCGGCUAACUCCGUGCCAGCAGCCGCGGUAAUUC
rnacentral:rRNA from 1 species